AUACGGAGGGUGCAAGCGUUAUCCGGAAUCAUGGGGUUUAAAGGGUCCGUAGGCGGACUAAUAAGUCAGGGGUGAAAUCCCACAGCUUAACUGUGGAACUGCCUUUGAUACUGUUAGUCUUGAGUUAUAUGGAAGUAGAUAGAAUGUGUAGUGUAGCGGUGAAAUGCUUAGAGAUUACACAGAAUACCGAUUGCGAAGGCAGUCUACUACAUAUAUACUGACGCUAAUGGACGAAAGCGUGGGGAGCGAACAGGAUUAGAUACCCUAGUAGUCC
rnacentral:rRNA from 1 species